UACGAAGGGGGCUAGCGUUGCUCGGAAUUACUGGGCGUAAAGGGCGCGUAGGCGGACAGUUUAGUCAGAGGUGAAAGCCCAGGGCUCAACCUUGGAACUGCCUUUGAUACUGGCUGUCUUGAGUUCGGGAGAGGUGAGUGGAAUGCCGAGUGUAGAGGUGAAAUUCGUAGAUAUUCGCAAGAACACCAGUGGCGAAGGCGGCUCACUGGCCCGAUACUGACGCUGAGGCACGAAAGCGUGGGAGCAAACAGG
rnacentral:rRNA from 1 species